AAUUCAGACUACUCCUCGAUCCUUCGCAGAAUGAUUAUCUAUCUCUGGGCAAGCGUGGCUAUGAGCUUACUUAUGAGAUAUGACUCCUUUACUCAAUGAUGACACCUAUUAAUUUAGCGAAAGUUUACUUUCCUUAGCACUUGAAGGAACAACUAGAAUCGUAAAUGU
rnacentral:RNase_MRP_RNA from 1 species